rnacentral:lncRNA from 1 species
GGAGAGUUCAGGCCAUGUGGAUGUAUGGAGCUGGUGGUCAGUAGAAACACCCGUGGCCAUGGGGACAGCACAUAGUCCACGGAAUCUCCCAGGCUCAGAGAGGUUGGGGAAAAGAGAACUCAGGAGACGCCCUCACCUCCUGACAUAUCACUG